UCCAUACGAGUUUCUCUUGGUUAAGGUCGUCGUCGCGCCACACAAUUUACUUAACUAUAUAAAAAAUGGGUCAGAAUCAUCCGAUGUUUAGCACAUUUGAUGCCCAACUUGUAACCCAAAUUCGGGGUAUCAAAACAUCUAUAUACAGACCCCAUAAUAAGAUCAAAUAGCCGGCAAUAAUUGAGUUUUGUAUGGAGCACCACGUGGUGCUAUGUGAGACACCUAGAGGCACUUUGAAAUUUUCAUAUUUCUAAGGUUAUCUUUGCAGCUAACGGAAAUGACGAAAGAUUGAGAUGUAUUCUAGCAGAAUCUUCGAUCCAUUAAAAGGCAAAGUAAAAGGAAAAUUGUCGAGCCAGGAUUGAGUCGAUCAAAAGGAAAUUCAAAAGGAUAAAAUCUUAAAAAGGUUUACCAGGCAAUAUAGUUUGGACCAAUCAAAAGGCAUUGCAAAAGCAUAAGAUCUUAGCUGAUUUUCCAGUUUGGAUAGUUUAGAUCAAUUAAAAGGUGCUAGAUCGGAAUGAUGUCAAAAACAGCCACUUAAAAUAUAAAAUAAAUUCUUUAUUUAAGCAUACAAAAUAAAAUAUGUUAACUUCCUAA